rnacentral:rRNA from 1 species
GACGAACGCUGGCGGCGUGCUUAACACAUGCAAGUCGAACGGGAUGAUUUAGAAGCUUGCUUUUAGAGAAUCUAGUGGCAAACGGGUGAGUAACACGUAGGCAACCUGCCGACAGGAUGGGGACAACAUUCCGAAAGGAAUGCUAAUACCGAAUGAAGCGCAGGAGAGGCAUCUCUCCUGCGUGAAAGAUGGCCUCUAUUUAUAAGCUAUCACCUGUCGAUGGGCCUGCGUCUGAUUAGCUGGUUGGUGAGGUAACGGCUCACCAAGGCGACGAUCAGUAGCCGGUCUGAGAGGAUGAACGGCCACAUUGGGACUGAGACACGGCCCAGACUCCUACGGGAGGCAGCAGUGGGGAAUCUGCCGCAAUGGGCGCAAGCCUGACGGAGCAACGCCGCGUGAGUGAAGAAGGUCUUCGGAUCGUAAAGCUCUGUUGAUGGGGACGAACGUGCGAAGGGUGAAUAAACCUUUGUAAUGACGGUACCUGUCGAGGAAGCCACGGCUAACUACGUG